rnacentral:rRNA from 1 species
UGUGCUAAUACCGCAUAAUCUCUCAGGAGAAAAGCAGGGGAUCGCAAGACCUUGCGCUUUAGGAGCGGCCGAUGCCUGAUUAGCUUGUUGGUAAGGUAAAAGCUUACCAAGGCUUCGAUCAGUAGCUGGUCUGAGAGGACGACCAGCUACACUGGGACUGAGACACGGCCCAGACUCCUACGGGAGGCAGCAGUGGGGAAUUUUGGACAAUGGGGGAAACCCUGAUCCAGCCAUGCCGCGUGAGUGAAGAAGGCCUUCGGGUUGUAAAGCUCUUUCAGCCGGAACGAAACGGU